CCCCUCCCCGAGGCUCGGCCACACCCGCGAGCCGCACCCGCGGCCCCACCGCUUCGGGGCUGGGGCCCCGGGACCCGGGCAGCCCGGCUUGACCUCGACCUCCGCCGUGCGGGCCCGACCGGUGAGUCCAGCCCGGCCGGCGCAGGCCCCGGCCGCCAGCCCCUCCCUCCGCCUCUCCCUGCCCCCAAUACCAGGCGCGGGCUGCGCUCGGUGGCGGCGGCGGGGCCCGCAGGCGGCCAUGGCGGCAGGCGCCGGGGCCAGGCCCGCGCCGCGCUGGCUGAGGGCGCUGAGCGAGCCGCUGAGCGCGGCGCAGCUGCGGCGACUGGAGGAGCACCGCUACAGCGCGUCGGGUGUCUCGCUGCUCGAGCCGCCGCUGCAGCUCUACUGGACCUGGCUGCUGCAGUGGAUCCCACUCUGGAUGGCCCCUAACUCCAUCACCCUGCUCGGGCUCGCCGUCAACGUGGUCACCACGCUCGUGCUCAUCUCCUACUGUCCCACGGCCACCGAGGAGGCACCAUACUGGACAUACCUUUUAUGUGCACUGGGACUUUUUAUCUACCAGUCACUGGAUGCCAUUGAUGGGAAACAAGCCAGAAGAACAAACUCUUGUUCUCCUUUAGGGGAGCUCUUUGACCAUGGUUGUGACUCUCUUUCCACAGUAUUUAUGGCAGUGGGAGCUUCAAUUGCUGCUCGCUUAGGAACUCAUCCUGACUGGUUGUUUGUCUGCUCUUUUAUUGGGAUGUUUGUGUUUUAUUGCGCUCAUUGGCAGACCUAUGUUUCAGGCGUGUUGAGAUUUGGAAAAGUGGAUGUAACUGAAAUUCAGAUAGCUUUAGUGAUUGUCUUUGUAUUGUCUGCAUUUGGAGGAGCAACAAUAUGGGACUAUACGAUUCCCAUUCUAGAAAUAAAAUUGAAGAUCCUUCCAGUUCUUGGAUUUCUAGGUGGAGUAAUAUUUUCCUGUUCAAAUUAUUUCCAUGUUAUCCUCCAUGGUGGUGUUGGCAAGAAUGGAUCCACUAUAGCAGGCACCAGUGUCUUGUCACCUGGACUCCACAUAGGACUAAUUAUUAUACUGGCAAUAAUGAUCUAUAAAAAGUCAGCAACUAAUGUGUUUGAAAAGCAUCCUUGUCUUUAUACCCUAAUGUUUGGAUGUGUCUUUGCUAAAGUCUCACAAAAAUUAGUGAUAGCUCACAUGACCAAAAGUGAACUGUAUCUUCAAGACACUGUCUUUUUGGGGCCAGGUCUUUUAUUUUUAGACCAGUACUUUAAUAAUUUUAUAGACGAAUAUGUUGUUCUAUGGAUAGCAAUGGUGAUUUCUUCAUUUGAUAUGGUGAUAUACUUUAGUGCUUUGUGCCUGCAAAUUUCAAGACACCUUCAUCUAAAUAUAUUCAAGACCACAUGUCAUCAAGCACCUGAACAGGUUCACAAGCAUAUUGACUGACUAAUAGCCCAAGGAAAAGAGAUGAAGUUAGGGGAAUCUAUGAGUGAAGGAAAUCCCCCUGUGCAGGAGGUUCAAGUUCUUUCUUCAAAGAGUCAUCAGAAUAACAUGGAUUGAAGAGACUUCCGAACACUUGCUAUCUCUUGCUGCUGCUGUUUCAUGGAAGGAGAUAUUAAACAUUUGUUUAAUUUUUAGUUAAGUGUUAUACCUAUUUCAGCAAAUAAAAUAUUUCAUUGCUUAUAUUAAUCCUUAUUUUUUUCAAUUUCAGUAUGAUCACUUACAGUUUCCAUCAUAAUUUUUUUUUGCAACAUAGCCAUUUCUUUUUUAAAUUCAUUUUGUGCACCAGUAAGUAGAUUAUCAUGAUUCUUCUCCAACUCUUCCAUACUCUAAGAACACAAAAAACUAGUUAAGUUACAAAGCACCACUUUUCAUCUCAGGUUCUAAACUUGUACAAUUAAUUUUCAAAAGUAGUAAUUUUUAAAUAUUCAAAUGCUCAUUAUUUAUUUGAAAUAAAAAUAUUCUAAGUAAUACAUGAAUACCAAAAUACCUACUAUAAAAGAAAAAAAUAUCAGACAUGAAUAAAAUGUUAUAGGAAGUACAAUGUAGUGUACUUUACCCAAAAUUGGUUUCCUGAACUGUUAAGGUCAAGAUAAAAAAGACUGGAAGUCCCAUAUCAGUAAACAUCAUUUCUAUUAAGCUUUCCAAAUAUCAAGUAAUAAUCUACUUAUGACUAAUAGUGUGCCAUGAAUUCACUAGAGGGAAUAAAAUAAUCUAUAGUACAACCUCUUUCAUGUUAUGAAAAAUAAAAAUUAUGUCUUACAUCUUUAUUAUUCAUUCAACAAAUAGUUAAUCUAGUGCCUACUAUGUAAAAGGCGCUUUAUUAAGCACUGUGGAGAAAUUAAAAAAUAAUAAUACAUGAUUGCUUCCUGAUGGCAAUGAGAAAAACAUGUAGAAACAAAACAAAAAUUUUGUAAUAGGAAUGGAAGCACAACUUGCUAUGGCGAUAUAGUGGAAAAUGGGGAUUAAUUCCAAUUUAGUGGGCAAAACACUAAGAUUUCAAUAGAUAAAGAAAAAGGAGUUAAAAAUAUUCUAGGGGAAGGGCAUAAGCGAAGCAUGGAAGUACAUAGUGAGUUGAGAGAAAGCAGUUAUGUGGAGGGGUGGGGUAAUGCACAAAUGUAGUAAAUGAAGCUUACAAAGAGGGUCAUGUCAUAGAGGAAUCUUGAAUACCUAAGAAUUUAGAAUGGGAGGCUACUGACAGUUUUCAAGAGGGAAGAGAUAUAUUUUUAAAAGAUAGUAUGACAGAUCUAGGAAGGAUAGAUUGGAGAACAGAGAAAUCAGUUAAGAAUUUUAAUGGUACAAGCAAAUAAUAAUGAGGUCCUAAACUAGGGUAGUAGCAGUGGGCAUUAAAAGAAAGAACCACUGCAGAAGUAAAACUUACAGAGCUACUAAUAACUGGAUGUGACA